ACUUAAAUUGAAGAGUUUGAUCAUGGCUCAGAUUGAACGCUGGCGGCAGGCCUAACACAUGCAAGUCGAGCGGUAGCACAGAGAGCUUGCUCUCGGGUGACGAGCGGCGGACGGGUGAGUAAUGUCUGGGAAACUGCCUGAUGGAGGGGGAUAACUACUGGAAACGGUAGCUAAUACCGCAUAACGUCGCAAGACCAAAGUGGGGGACCUUCGGGCCUCAUGCCAUCAGAUGUGCCCAGAUGGGAUUAGCUAGUAGGUGGGGUAACGGCUCACCUAGGCGACGAUCCCUAGCUGGUCUGAGAGGAUGACCAGCCACACUGGAACUGAGACACGGUCCAGACUCCUACGGGAGGCAGC
rnacentral:rRNA from 1 species